AUAUCAAUAAGCGGAGGAAAAGAAACCAACAGGGAUUGCCUCAGUAACGGCGAGUGAAGCGGCAACAGCUCAAAUUUGAAAUCUGGCCUCUUUGGGGUCCGAGUUGUAAUUUGUAGAGGAUGUUUCGGGUACCGCCUCGGUCUAAAUUUCUUGGAACAGAAUGUCAGAGAGGGUGAGAAUCCCGUCUUGGACCGGCGGUAGGGCCCAUGUGAAACUCCUUCGACGAGUCGAGUUGUUUGGGAAUGCAGCUCAAAAUGGGUGGUAUAUUUCAUCUAAAGCUAAAUAUUGGCCAGAGACCGAUAGCGCACAAGUAGAGUGAUCGAAAGAUGAAAAGAACUUUGAAAAGAGAGUUAAACAGUAUGUGAAAUUGUUGAAAGGGAAGCGCUUGCAACCAGACUUGAGCGCGGCGGUUCCCCCUUCCUUUUGGUUGGGUUACUCCGUCGUGUCCAGGCCAACAUCGGUUCUGGGGGUCGGUUAAAGGCCUGGGGAAUGUAUCUACGUCUUCGGGCGUAGACUUAUAGCCCCGGGUGUCAUGCGACCUCCCGGGACCGAGGAACGCGCUUCGGCUCGGAUGUUGGCGUAAUGGUUGUAAGCGACCCGUCUUGAAACACGGACCAAGGAGUCUAACAUCUAUGCGAGUGUUUGGGUGUCAAACCCGGAACGCGGAAUGAAAGUGAACGGAGGUAGGAAGCUUCGGCUGCACUAUCGACCGAUCCUGAUGUCUUCGGAUGGAUUUGAGUAAGAGCAUAGCUGUUGGGACCCGAAAGAUGGUGAACUAUGCCUGAAUAGGGUGAAGCCAGAGGAAACUCUGGUGGAGGCUCGCAGCGGUUCUGACGUGCAAAUCGAUCGUCAAAUUUGGGUAUAGGGGCGAAAGACUAAUCGAACCAUCUGGUAGCUGGUUCCUGCCGAAGUUUCCCUCAGGAUAGCAGUAACGAAAUCAGUUUUAUGAGGUAAAGCGAAUGAUUAGAGGCCUUGGGGUUGAAACAACCUUAACCUAUUCUCAAACUUUAAAUAUGUAAGAAGUCCUUGUUGCUUAAUUGAACGUGGACAUUUGAAUGUAUCGUUACUAGUGGGCCAUUUUUGGUAAGCAGAACUGGCGAUGCGGGAUGAACCGAACGUGAGGUUAAGGUGCCGGAAUGCACGCUCAUCAGACACCACAAAAGGUGUCAAUGCAUCUAGACAGCCGGACGGUGGCCAUGGAAGUCGGAAUCCGCUUAGGAGUGUGUAACAACUCACCGGCCGAAUGCAUUGGCCCUGAAAAUGGAUGGCGCUUAAGCGUGUUACCUAUACCUCGCCGUUAGGGUUGACAUGAUGCCCUAACGAGUAGGCAGGCGUGGAGGUCCGUGACGAAGC
rnacentral:rRNA from 1 species